rnacentral:lncRNA from 1 species
GUUAAUCCCUAAUAACACAGGCAUAUCUGCAGGGCAAAAGCAUUUAAUGCAGUUUAAUGGUGAACGGAAUAGUCUAUAUUAAUAGUGUGCUAAUGCUCCAAAGUUCUGCAAUGCAUGGUGCAGCUAGGACAGAGAGCACACGCACUAACAAAAGUUCUAUAAAAAUUUGUUUAAAGCAUCAAGAGGAAAGAAGUGACCAUUUGAGCAUAUACUCAGAAUAACAAUCAAACUUACACUUGAUUCCAUAAUGCCAACCAAGUUUGUUAUUGCCUAGCGGCCUUUGGGAGUGGAUGUUAGUAUACUGUAAUCUUUGAUGAAACCAAAACAAGCAACUAAGAAAGGCAUUGAUCUCUGAGCAGCACCAAGUUGUGAAAUUUUUAGCCGAAAUCAAUAUUUUAAACUACAAAAUACUUUCUCCAGUUGUUAACAGUAUUGCAGCCAUUUCACAAUUUUAAAGACUUGAUGCAUAAACUAGUGAACAAACAUCAUUUCCCUCGAACAGAGGAAAAACUGGAAAAGUCAGUAAUAUUAAGAUAUCCUAUCUUCUUGAAACUCUGAUGAAAAAAAAAAAACGAAUAAAAUAGGAAGCCAUCAAUAAUAAUGAAACAAAUAGUAAACAAGAUUACAUGAAGCGUGAAUGUGGAAGCCUUUUUGAUGACGAAUGAAUUUUGUAACCUGUGGCCUUAUAAUAACUCUUGAUCCUCCAAGAAAACUCCAUUCACUUUGCAAGUCAGUUCCAACUCCUGUAAUUUGCCGUCCAAAAGUUUCAGCAUUCAUGCUUCUGGGAGCAGAGGUUAAUCUUUGAUCCACGCCAACAUUACCCCAAGUUCCUAUAGGCUGCUACAAACAGUCAAUCUAUAAGCAACAAAACUUAAACCCAAAGAGAAACCCUCAAGCUUGCACAAUAAACAGAAAACUGUUUACUUAAUUUAUAUCAUUAUAUUCAUCCUUCAAGCUCAUUAGCAUUCGAUAAACUUCAUGAUGACUCCUCAAGGGAAAUCUAGAAAUCCAAUUUUGAUAAUGUACGACCAUUAAACCAAACAAUUGGCUGAUUAAUUGGAAACGGGUAAACAUUAAUCACAGAUCUCAGUAGAAAUUUAACUAAAAAUAAAAAUGUGUAGAUAAAGUCACUGAAAAACGAAACUUCCUCCAGAAAACAACACAUCCAAUAGUAAUUUCUCCUAAAAUUCCAAUAAAACCCAGAAAAAGAAAACAAUUAACACGGCAAAACCAUAGCUUAAACAGCAAAAACAAGAAAGAAACUUACCUUAUCCUUGAGUGGCAACACUAGAGGGUGGCAUAAGCAAGAAGAGAUGGCCAUGCUAUGAGCAAAAAUGAAAAUCCCAGCAACAACCAUAAUGGCUUCUUCUUCAUCCGUUUAUAAAAGCACUCACUAUGUGUACGCUAAAAAGAACAAUUAAAAAAGAAAAUGGAGCAUCCGAAAAAUGCUGAAGUGGUGAUGUGGGACUUUCUUUCCACUUAAGAUGAAACAGAGUGCAGACACGCCGUUACAAAGCCACGAGCGGAAUUGAAGGAGACGUCACUACAUUCACUCAUUCAUCUAUUAUUAGAAUUGUUGUGUUGCGUUACACACUCACUGAGCACCGAAAGUGUGGAGGCAAAAGCGUAGCUGAGACAGACACCGUUUGCUCUUGUCAUAGUCCCACUUUUCAUUUGGAAUCUUUUAAUGUCCUACACGUGGCCUCACAUGGUUGGCUUUAGUUUGUUUCCACGGUAGUUAUUGAUCCACUUCUGUGUGCCUUUAGGUUAGGGGUCUGGUUUGGUCAACGUUUAAUUUGAAGAAUAUUAUUCUAAACAGACAUGAGUUACUGAAUUAUGAGUAUGUUCAUGCUGUGUAUCGCAACAGAAAAUAUAUUGGGAAAUUUAGAGAAACACCCGAUUAAAAUAAAUAAAAAUCCGCCCCAUCUUUUAUUUCAUCUCCUUAUCUUUCGGAAUUGAAAGGAAGUUGACACAGCCUCUAUACAGACGAAGGCCCUUCCUCUAAAGGAAUGUAACGUCGACCAAGUGUGCCAUGAUAAUGUGAAUUGCUGAAUACAAUGUUUCAAUCUAAUGCACCGGACAGUUCUGUACAUUCAAUACCAGUCUUAUUUCCUAUUUAACAACAAUCAAGCUCCUCAUUUUUAUUAACUCCAGCGAGUGAUCAAUCAACUGUCAGUACUACUUCUGCUGUGAUCAUCGAGCCAUGAAAUGAUAUCAGCAAAUACUCGAAUUAUCAUGUCAUCAGGCUCGCCCUCCAGAAGUGAAUGAAAAGCAUCCUUGUAAAGAAUGCACUUCUUGUCCUUACUGCUCGCUUUCUCAUACAAGGCUUUGCUCACCGAUGGGUCAGUUACAGUAUCAUUCUCCCCAUGCAAGAUUAGCAGUGGCAGAGAAACCUGUCGCAAUACCAGAAUUAGUUAUAUCCGAUGCAAGAUUUACACACCAAUGAUGUAUGAGAAUGUUCUAUAUCAACCAAAACACUUCUGUUAAACGAAAGUUUCAUUCUUAUUUGAGAUUCUUGUACACAUAAAGAUUUAAAAUCAACUUGAAUUUGCAAUGCCACAUACCUUAUCCGGUAAAUAGCUCGUUUUCUCUAUCCAGUAAAUGUCUAGCACAAUAAUAUUCUCAUCUUGGUUUUCUUAGUUAUUCAAAUUGAGUUCAAGCCUGUUCAUGAACUUUAUGAAACAUGUUCAAUAAUGGGAUAACACCUGCAUCCCUACAUUACGAAAUGGAUUUCUUAGUAUUUAAUUUUCUACUUUCUUCAAGUUCAUGUUACAACCUUUUUUUAAGUUAUCAACUAUGCAAUUUCUGAGAGCCAUCACUAAUUCAACAAUUUAAAUCAAAAGUUCCUACUAGACAAGCCCCUCUGAGUCAACUGACAAUAGCCUUUAUGCGGGCAGAGAGAAAGGUCAUGAAAAAUCUCAGAACAUAUGCCUCAAACUGGUUAAAGAGCAUGAAAACAUAAUUUUCUUGCCUUUUCCAACUGAUAUACUAAACAUGAUCGGAUGCAAGAUAAGUUUCCUCAAAAAAAAAAAGGACAAAAAAUCAUAGGCACAGAUGAUAUCAAAAUUCAAUAUUAAAAAUUAUUGUCAUGCCUUUUCCAACCGACGUUCUAUCCCUUCAGUGGUUUUGAGCAGCUCUAGAGCAGUCCGCAAGCGUGGUUUAUCCUUGUAAACAAUGACAUUAUACUUAGUCUGCAUUCAACAGGAAAAAUGAGAGUAUUUAGAAUCAACAAGUGGAUGGCAGAAUGAAUAAAGAACUUAAUCAAAUGCAGGGGAGGGGGGGAAGCUACUACCAUAUGAUAUCACAAUCCUACAUGGCUCCAUUAUAUUAUUUGCUAUAAAGCCACAAUUAUUAUAAAUGCUUUGCUUUAAUUUUAGUCAUUGAAAAGAUCUAAGAAAUAUCCAUUCCCCCCNNNNNNNNNNNNNNNNNNNNNNNNNNNNNNNNNNNNNNNNNNNNNNNNNNNNNNNNNNNNNNNNNNNNNNNNCACCCCAAAAAAAAAAGAGAGAGGAAAAAAAAAAAGGAACAAACCAGUUCUCGAUUCUUCAAAUCUCUAAAUGCAGCCUCAGCCAAAUCCUUUUGAGGAACCAACUUAUGCUUUGGAAGAAUAUUAGCUAUGCCAAUCAGGAUUUGUUUUACUAAAAAUGGGGGCACCAUGUCAUCUGCAAUCUAUGCAAAAUUUUGAGUUAAUAGAAGGGAGGUAUGUCAGAUUCUAAGACAGUUUAUAAUAUAAUCAGGUUGAAGAAAAUACUUUGCACAUAGGUGCAACAAGAAUAGCACCGCUCCAUGCAUUAGGCUGUUUAAGGUGCACCUUCACUGCUACAGCUCCACCAAGAGACUGACCAAAGAGGAAGCUCGGCAAAGUACGAAACUCAGGGUACUCUGCCAUGUGAAUCAACCAAAACAUAAACAUCAAGAACAGACAAGUAUCUUGAUCAUAAUCUGUUAACCAAAUGUAAGAUGUUUGUUAUGUGUACUAUAAUAAUUGCCCUUAAACAGAUCAUUUCAAUAUACUUUGCAUUGUCUCAAACGAUGACAAAAUCAACAAACCAGAGAAAGUUUUCUUCAAAGUAAACAAAACAAAGAAUUCGUAAAUGAAGACAACAGAUUGACAUGGAAAGGGAAAUGUUAAAAUCAUCAAACCUAAACCUACACUCAAAACAAAAUUUAAUUCUAUCGCCAUUGAGGGUUUCAAGGAUUCCAAGAUAAGGCUCUAAAACAACUUGGCACACCUUUGAUGUUGGAAUAAUGCUCGAUGACAUCAUCAACCAGCCGGUCAAAGCUGGGAAUGUAGCCAUGAAGACCUGCUGAAAGGCCAAAUCCAGGGUAAUCCAUAGCGAAAACUCCGUAUCCAGAUGAUGCCAACUUCCUUGCAGUUCCUGAUAAAAUGCCACCAUGUAAGGCUCAAUUACCGCACCAUGCCUAAGGCUAUAAACAGUUAACUGCUACUUAAUGCUAAGAGCUACAUGCCUUCAAAGAAAAAUGUGCAAGUGUCUCCAUAACCAUGACAAUAGCACACCAGUCCUUUGGGUUGAGAGGUCUCCGGAAGCCAACUUUUACAGAAAAUUUCCACUCCUCUGGAAUUCACCUCAUACGACUGCAAAACAGCAAACAAUGUGACCUUCUUCAGUUAAAAGCAAAUUACAGCAAUGUCAAAACACAAAAACAGCAGGACACAAUGCUUUUUUAUACUUUAGCCAGCAUCACCGAUCACAGCUUGGGCCCAAUUCCACUUUUUUGGGUAGAAAGACUCCCUUUCGUACGAAAUGUAAACAGAAAGUAAUAAAAGCUGAAGUUUUGACUUCUUACCUCCUCCGUUUUCAAUCCAUCACAAGUGGCCUGCAAAAUAGCCAAAAAUAAAAUAAUCAAACUAUAAACUUCAUUCAAAGAUAUAUCCAUCAUCCUUCUAAAGUACAACACUUCAUCAGCACCAUUGAACACAACUGAUUCAGCAACAAUCAACGGACCAAAUUAUUUCCUUUACCAACUUUUCAUUUACCACAAACAAAUCCCACUUAACAUCAUCAACUUCCAAUAACAAAACAAUAUAAAAAUAAAUAAAUAAAUAAGUCAAAUUAAAAAAACGAAUGCCAAUAAGCGAAAAACAUGAAAAAGAAUGCAAAGAAUAGAACCACCUUCAAUAAAAUAUGAUCAAUAUUAAGCUGGAUAUCCUUAAACGCCUCACGUGCCCGGCGCCUAUUGGGAGCCUCAUCCAUGUUAGCGUCCAAAAUCUCGCUCAACUCAUCGCUUAUUCCUGGAAACUUCAGCUUUGCUGCGGCCAUUAUCCUUCUUUUUCCUCUGAACCCAAUUAACCCCGCACCCAAACUCUUGGCCCUCGUACUCAAUCAACUUCACGUUAUUGUUAAAAUAACAAAGAAAACAAAGGUGAAUGCUUUCUUGGGUUUUUGCUUUAAAUACCACGUAAAGGGUGCAGUCACAGCUGACCUUAAAGCCAAAUUUGGAAAGUAUAUUAAUUAUAUUUUUUUUUUUAAAAAAAAAAAAAGGAGAAAAAUAUGAACGUAUCAUGAAUGGUGUUUGUUUUUGUGGACCGGGAAAGUGGCCAAAACUUAUAGACGAGGUCUGACUUUUAUUAUUUUCUUUGUUAUCUUUUUCUUUUUCCUUUUUUUAUUGGGUCGUUGAAGAUGCCGUUUGAGUGGGAGAUGCCUGCUUUCAAAGUUCAAACUUUUAUUUGCAGUUUCUAGAUUUCGUUUUAAUUAACAUUUGGGUCCCUUAAUUUUGAUAAAAUCAUAGAAUAAAAAUAUAGUUUGAAGCUUUCUUCGCAUGGAUCUUCAAUGUGACGCCAAGUUAAAAUUAGAAUACAAAUUUUAUAUCUAAUUAAAUUUACGUGGCAUGGUUAAAUGUCAUUUAUUAAUCAUUAAUAAAUAGUAUUAUUAUCACAAUAAUAAUCAACUAAUAGUCAAUAUGCAAUUGAUAAAACUAUAAUUAUAAUUUAAUCAAUAUAUACCUAUCAUUGUUGACUUGUUGUCUUUCUUUUGAAAUAAAUACUAUUAUUUUUUUAUUUAAAAAAAUUAAUUUAGGGUGGCCGUGGAAUGUGAAUGUGAUGUCCCUUCAUCCUCAAUGCCCGACUUAUUAGAAUUUAGAACAUAGCAGCGCUGCAUUGUGUCAUUUAGGACCUGUGUGAAAGAAUUAUGAAUUAUGUCGUUAUGUACGCUUUUGUCAAAGAAAUUAGUGAGCCAAAUGUUAUUUCUCUAUUUAAUAACUGUUUUGCAUUUUCGUUUUGUUUUAUUUGUUAAUUAGGCGGCGGUUGAACACGAAACUCGUUUUGGACCCCCUUCGAAGCCUCGGUUGACGUGGUUGGUGACUAUGAGGGAGCGCGGCCUUCCCGUGACGGGCAGUCGUCUUGGUGCGUGGGACCGCUGCUCUACUUGCGACACGUGGCCCACAGCGAAUGCGAAACUGUGUAUAUAAUAUAAUUUUCACUAAUCACUUGCAUAGUAUACGACCGUGUCAAGCUCCCAUUAGGGGCUGGGGUCUGCAUUUAAUAGGAACUUGAUACACUUGAUCACACUCCAUUUUUUAAUAUAAUUAAUCUUAUCUUCUAACAUACGAAAAUUUAUAUUCUUUUUAUUUUUUAACUUGUCUUAGAAUUCUUCCAAUAACAUAUUCUAGUAUAAUAUAUUUUAUUUUUUAAUAUAUUAAAAUUUAUAAUUUUUUUAUUUUGUAACUUAUUUCUUAUCUAAUAAAAGAUGCUUAAGUUAUUAAAAAAAUAGAUGAACUAAAAAUUAAAAAAAAAGUAAAAUAUACAUUUCAAUACAAUAUAUUUUAUUCUGUAGUGUAUUAGAAUAUAUAUUUUUCUUAUUUUAUAAUAUAUUCCUUACUUUAAUAAUUUAAGGGUAUGACUAUUUGAGUCCAUUAAAUUUCUUUUUAUAACUAUCAUAAAAAGUAAAUAUUUUUAAAAUUUUAAUAUUCUAAAAUUUCAAAAUUUCCCAUUAAGCUAUUUUCUUAUCAAUUUCACUGUGCAUAUGUUCUCUCUCUACCAUCACUUCUUAUAAAUUAAUCUCUCACUUCACUCUUUUUUGGCUAUGAAUUAUUUUGCUUCUUUAUUUCGACUGCAUCGCCUUUUGUCAUUUGAAUUGGGAAAUUUGUUGAUUAUAUUUUUAAAUUGGUAGUAAGAUUUACAGCUUUAGCCAGUUUCUGUAACAAACGGUUCUAUUCAAAGAGGUUGGUACGAAUAAGGAAUCUUUCUCCCUCUUGGAAUCUCGUUGACAAGAUGGCAAAGGGUACACUUCUUGUGAAAUCAAAAAUGAAAUAAGAUUUGGGAAUGUGUUAGGAACAUAAUGAAUUCAAAGCCAGAAAAAUAAAAAAAUUAUUGUGUUUCAUGGUUAAUUAAAAAUGUUGAUACUAAUUUUGGAUGGUGGUUUGUUCCUUUAAAUUCGCGGUAGUCCAUAGCUAAAUUGAUUUUGAUUAUUUGCAACAGACAAACAAUAGCAUUCAUUUGUAGUUGAACUCUAAAAGAAAAAAAAAAUUGAAGGAAUUGGUUUGAGCUAAAGAUUUGGGAGAGAAAAUAUACGACUAAUUAGGUAAAAUUUUCAAAUUUAUUUUUACAAUAAGUAUUUUAAUUGAAAAAAAGGUGUAAAGAGUUAAUCUAUGAUUUAAGGACGUGUCUGCGUUAAAAAAAUGAGGGUGCCCGAAUAUCUAUAUGUGUGUGUAAUUAUGACUGUGCUAAAAUAAUAAAUACUCGAAGUCGGAAAUUAAUUGAUCCAUUUUAAUAACAAUAGUGAUAAGAUUCUAAUAUUUGAGUCUUAAUUUAAAUUCUAAUAUUAUGUGUUACUUAUUUAUUAGAAUAUAGAUUAAAAUUAUUUACUCACCAUCUAAUGAAUGAAUACCACAUUAGUUUUGAUUCAAAUUUAUGACUUAAAUACUAUGAUACCUAAUAUUACUCUUUUAAUACCAAGAAAAUUAGCUUCAGCUAUCCCCACAUCACCAUGGAAAUGAGUCCGAACUCUAAACCAAACAAAUUACCAAUUUCGUUAGAAAUUAAAUCAAUCCAAAUCUAAUUCGAUUGGAACGAAUGGAUAUUAUUUGCCUAAAUGUGAAAUUGCGACUUUUCUCCUACCCUUUAAGCCAUGUCAUUUUCUUUCAUUCUAGUACAUGACAUGCGCUUCAAUGGAAGAUUUGUUCAUGAUUGGACGCGUUCGCUAUGAUAAUUAAUUAGGGAUGGCAAUGGGGAGGGGAGGGGAGGGGACCAAUCUCCCCAUACCCAUCCCCGAUAUUUUGCAUAUGUCCCCGUCCCCGUCAAAAUUGCUUGAGAGAAUCUCCAUCCUCUCCCCGAAUAAUAACAGGGGAUCCCCGAGGGUCCCCGGUCCCCGAAUAAUUAAUAGUCUAAUAUAUUUUUUAUUUUCGAUUUUAAAUUAAUCAUAUUAAAAUAAACUCAUACCGCUAUUGUAAGCUCGUAACCAACUUUGACAGCACAUUAAGGCCUCCAAUGUGCUUGGAUGAAGUUUGUUACGGUGUGAGCUCACAACUCUACCACCGGUGCUAAAAGCUGAUUCAGAAGCAACUGUUGUAAUUGGAAUUGCCAAAAUAUCUCUAGCAAUUCGAGCUAAUGUAGGAUACGAAUUAGGAUUAGAACUGUUGUAAAUUAUAAUUAGGCAGCUCUCUCCUGUAUCAUUGUGGUUUGGAUUAAAAAUUUAAGACUUUAAUUAGUUAAUUAAGUUUAAAAGUUUAAUAAUAUAACUAUUUUAAUAUUUAUUAUUUUUAACAAUAUUUAUAAUUUUGUUAUUUAUUUAUUAGUAAUUUUAAAAAUAAAAAUAAAAUUAAAAAUUAAAAUGGGGAAAUGGGUAGGGGAUGGGGAUUCCACCUCAUCCCCGUCCCCUCCCUGAAUAAAAAGUUGGGUAAAAAAUUUUUCCCGUCCCCUCCCUGAAAAAAAAAUUGGGUAUAAAAUUAUCCCCGUACCCUCCCCGAAUGGGAAAAAUCCCUGAGGGUACCCAUCCCCGUGGGGAUUUUUGCCAUCCCUAUAAUUAAUUGCAUUUAUUAACAGUGCUUAUAUCGUUAUUAGUUCAAUUUAAUUUGACAUGAAAUUUGACGUAUAUGGAUGGAGAUAGAUAAGCCCUCACGAAAUAAAUUUAUGAGUCACAUCCAUAUAUUUUUUAUGAGAAUACAUUAAUAGUAUGUUUAUUGAUCAAUAAAUGAGAAUGGAUUAGAAUUGGAAUGAACUAAAAUUAUAAUGAGAUAAUAUUAUAAUAGAAAAUAAAAAUUAGAAUAGAUUAUUUAUUUUAACUAUUAAAAUUGAAAUCGAAAUGAGUUGUAUUAUCAUUAAUGUGUUUACUUUAUUUUACAAUUUGAAUGAAUUAUUAUAAUUUAAUAAAAUACCUUUAAUUUAUUAUUACCAUUAUUUUUAUUAUUAUUAUUAUUAUUUUAUUAUUAUUAUUAAGAAAAUUAUUGUUAAUAAUAACAAUAGUUGUUGUUACUGCUGUUGUUGUUAUUAUUAUUUUCUCCCUCUUUUGUUUAUUUUCUUUUUCUCCUCUUCUUUUUCUCUUUUUUCUUUUUAUCUCUCUUUUUGUAAAUUCUUCGUUACUUCUUCUCUUUCUUCUUUCGUUUUAAAUUUUUAUUUUUCUAUUCUACAUCGUUUCUUCUUCUUCUUCUUCUUCUUCUUCUUCUUCUUCUUCGCUGUCUAUUAUUUGUCUUCAAUCUCUUUUUUCUUUUUUUCUUUUUCUCUUUUUCAUUACCUAUUCUUCUUCGUUUCUUUUUUUUUUUAAUUUAUUUUCUCUUCUUUAUUGUUUCUUCUUCUUCUUCUCCAUCUAUUCUUCAUCUUCAAAUUAAACCGAUGGUGCCACGCGAUGAAUGACGACGUGAUUCCAACGUGCUGUGCUACGAGAUUUGGGUUUGGUUGCUGUGAGAUUUAGGAUUCGAUUGCUUGCUGUGAUUUUCAUUUUGAUUUUUUUGAUUUUUGAUUUUUUUAUUAUUUAAAGGGUAAAAUUUUAUUUAAUCUCUAUAUUUUGAGGUUAGUACCCGUUCAGUCCCUAUAUUUUUAAAAAUAACUCAAAACAUCCCGAUAUUAAAUUAUUAGCACAUUUCCUCUUACUUUUUAUUGCUUUUGGCUUAAUUUUUAUAAUAUUACCCUCUUAUAAUUUUUUUUUGGACAUUAGUAAAAAGAAAAAAAAUUAAUUAUCAAUUUAAUCUUAAAAAAUAAAAUAGAAUCAAAAUUAAUAUAUGUUGCUAUUUUGAAACACACUGAGGAAUUAAUAUAUUAAUUUUUUUAUUAUUAAUGUCCAAAAAAAUAGGUAAUUUAAUUAUUUUACAAUAAAUUUUUUUUUGACACACGUAAACUUUCACAAAAUUUAAUAUAUAUUCUUUUUGUUUUUAUUUUAUUUUUGGGGUUAAAUUGAUAAUUUAAUUUUUUUAUUAAUUUUAUAAAAAGAAAUAUUAUUGUAAGAGGGUAAUAUUAUAAAAGCAAGUCAAAAUAAAUAAAAAGUAACCGCAAGGAUGUCAAUAAUUUAAGGGUGGAGAUGUUUUGAGACAUUUUAAAAAAUAUGGAGACUAAAUUGACACUAAUAUUAAAAUAUAGGGAUGCAAUAAGCUUUUACCCUUAUUUAAAAAAAUGAGAAAGUUAUAAUAAUGUAAUUGAAGAGGGGGUAUUUUAAGAAAUUCUAGACAUGAGAGUCUGAUUCUCAAGCUGACUUAGAAAUCAAACUCCAUAAUGAUUAUUAACUUGGUGUGGGCUCUACGAAAAUGAAUCUUAUUCCUUCCCUCAUUCAUCAAAUAAAUGUUGGUUUCAUUCUGAUUCGAAAUUCCCAUUAUUGAAUUUGGAAAAUAAACUCACCAUAAAAUGAAUAUAUACAAUGUGUGGUUUAAUUCUCUAAAAAGUUUCCACUUUGACAUAAGGCGGAUCAUAAUUGAAAAAAAAUAAUAAUAAGCCAAGAGAGAUAACACAUUUUCCUUCUAUCAUCCUCUUCAAAUGCUUUAAGCCAAGAUCAAAUAUAAAGUUUUUAUGUAACUUUAUAUUUAGGUUAUUGUGAAAACAAAUAAUAAUUGUAAUGGAUUGUGCUUAUGCAUAGUUGUUUAUUUGUAUAAAACUUAGGUCUUAUUUUAUAGAGAAAAAAAAAUUAUAUUCUCCUGCUAAUAUGUCAAAAGUUUACUUACAACCAAUCUUAAAUGGGUUGUUGUAAACUCGUGGGUAAAAUGAUGAAUAUACAUUUCUCUCUAUAAAAGUAUUCCUCCGAUUUUAUAGAUAAAAUUUAUUGCAGUUUUGUUUUUGAACAUAAUUUUGUAAGAAAAAGAAAUUGUUUAACAAAAUCUCGCAAUAGCUGACUAUCAUUUAUAUGUUAAAUAUAUAAGUUCGAAGUAACUCUUAAACUAAUUUUUUUAGUGUAAACUAGGCUCAUAGCCUUAAGGUCUUUAGGUUUAAAAAUGAAUAAGGAAAUUAUGCAGGGAUUUCUAUUGAAGUUUAGUCAUUUUACUACUGUGGCACAUACUCUUUACAAAAACUUAUUCUAAACUCCUUAAAUUUGUAAAAUUUCGCUAUAGUUAUGUUGAACUAAAUCAUGAGUCCACCAGUCAUGAUCUCCCAUGUAAUUUUAUGCAUGAGGUAGGAAGUCAUCGUAAAGAGGAUAGCUAGUCCACAAACAUAAUAAAACCACUCAAUAUGUUAAACUAUAUAUAGAUAUUUUUGGAGAAUUCCACGCGUUUAACGGGAUACCGAGAUCUAGUUUACUAUUAAAAUUGAACAGCUAAAUUUUAAAAAUUUCAACAUUUAACUAUUUGAUAAAUACUAUAUGGUACGAUUUAAAAAUUGAUUUAAUUUGAUCAUACACUUAUAUAAUGAAAACUUAUUAUAUUUUUAAAAAAAUCAUUAUUUAAAAAUUAUAUUUAUAGCAUCUUAUCAAAUUUUAUUUAAAAUUUAACAUUAUUGUUCGCUUGUGGUAGAAGUGUGGUUGCUUCUCUUUACGAAGAGCCCUUUAAUUUCCAUAAUGAGUUUUUUAAUAGGUUAGGGCAGCAGGAUCACGUCCCCACGAUGGAUUUGUUUGGUGUAGGUGAUCAGUUCUAAUUAAUUAAUACUUAAAAGAUAAUUUAAUAUUAUAAUUUUAAGUUUUUGUUUCAUUAUUAAUAUAUAAAUUAGAGAUUUAACAUUUUUUAAUUUUUAAAUUUAAAUUUAUUAUUUAAAUUUAUAAUUUUUUUUUUUUUUAAAAAAAAGAGGGAGUGAGUCUAGUUUGGGCUUUUUUCCUAAAUCUUUAUACAGACUCUCAUGUGGAAGGCUUGAGUCAAAGUCCUUGCCAAUGGGCCGGACCGCCCGGACUUUUUUGCGAAUUGGUCCUUGAGUAAUGAUGGGUCUUCAUUGCGAAAGGCGGGUGGUGGACAUACGUCCGUCAGCUAGUCAAACAUUGCGUUGAGCCAUUUAUCAGGGGACGUGUCAAUGUGACAUUGGUCUGUUUGUGGGUCCACAAUUUAUCAUCUUACGCUUACCUCACAUACGGGCCGGGCUUACCAGACUGAGCUUUGUCUAUUGGACUAGGUUGGCCUUGAUUUAUGGGCUAAAUUGCUCGCGUAAAUUAAUGAUCUUAUCCUACUACCUUGGACUAGGCUUUACUAACGUUCCCCACAAACAAUGCCUAUGAUGGGUUUGUAGAGCCUGAUAUUCAGUAGAAGAGUGAAUUCCUUCCCCCGUUCGUAUUAUUUCUAAUUUAGCCCAUCCAAGAAAAGAAAUUAUAACCAAAAAAAGUAUUUAUAGUGUAAAAUUACUAUAUUUUAAUCAAAACUCUAGGAAGAAAAUAAAAUCAAACACUUCCUCAAAAAUACAAAAAGGGGAUUAGAGCUGCAAAUGCAUACACCCCUCGGACAAUUACUCGAAAAGGAGGAUCACGUGUCCACUUUAUCACCUUAACCUGGUCCCUACCACCAGUUCGCAUCCACGUGUCAAAAUCACACAUGAGAAAUUCAAUUCUGAUGCGGUGGAGAUGGAGGAUGGGACCCACCACAUGAUUGCCUUUUACACGCUUCUUUUAAGCUACCGAUGCGUGAUUUGCGCGCGUGAUUAAAAAAAUAAAAGAAAAACCUCUCACUCUUUACUCUUUACCCUUUGGUCUUUAGUUUAGGGAUGACAAUGGAUUAGAUCUGAUCUAAGAUUCACGUUAUCUAAAUUUAAUCGGAUCAGAUUUAGAUCGAUUUAAAAUAGAUUUAGAUUGGAUUUGAAUAUUGAUGUGUGGAUUUAAAACGGAUCUAGAGCAGAUCUGGAUCUAUCUUAAUAUCUAAAUUCAUAUUCAUAUCCACUCAUUUUUUUAUUUUAUUUUAAAAGUUUCUUAACAAUUGUAAAAUUAUAAUGAUAAUAAAUUUUAUUCAUAGCAUAUUAGUAGUAUUUACUAUGCAUUUAAACUCUUAAAACUUAAAAGUUAGUUUUGUAAAUUUAAAGGUCAACCAGCCCCAAAGCAUGUACAUGUAAUAUUCAAAUUGCAAGUCAAGUAAUAUAACAUAGAAAUUUAUUUUAUUAUAUUGGCCAAAUAAUUUUUAAGGAAUAUAGUUAUUCAUAUAUUUAGUCAUAUAUGGACAUAAUAAAAAUAAUAAAUGACUGAAUAUAAAUCAUAUUUAAUUUGUAUGCCAUUAUCUAAUGUUGUAGGAAUGACGAUAGAUGUAUCGUGGAGAUUAGAAUGAUAAAGGAGACAAUAGAAUAUUAUAUUGAUCUUACUCCUGCAAUUACUUAUGAAUGAUAUUUUAUUAUCUUUCUUAUUUGUUGUUUUGGUAUAAAAGUAUAAGCUACAUAUUAUAUUUUUGAGAAAAAUUAUAUAAUUUAUUUGUUAUCAAUUCAUUUUAGCCUUCUAAAAAAUUAUUACUUUUUUUAUUAUUAAAUUUUCACCCCUCGGACAAUUACUCGAAAAGGAGGAUCACGUGUCCACUUUAUCACCUUAACCUGGUCCCUACCACCAGUUCGCAUCCACGUGUCAAAAUCACACAUGAGAAAUUCAAUUCUGAUGCGGUGGAGAUGGAGGAUGGGACCCACCACAUGAUUGCCUUUUACACGCUUCUUUUAAGCUACCGAUGCGUGAUUUGCGCGCGUGAUUAAAAAAAUAAAAGAAAAACCUCUCACUCUUUACUCUUUACCCUUUGGUCUUUAGUUUAGGGAUGACAAUGGAUUAGAUCUGAUCUAAGAUUCACGUUAUCUAAAUUUAAUCGGAUCAGAUUUAGAUCGAUUUAAAAUAGAUUUAGAUUGGAUUUGAAUAUUGAUGUGUGGAUUUAAAACGGAUCUAGAGCAGAUCUGGAUCUAUCUUAAUAUCUAAAUUCAUAUUCAUAUCCACUCAUUUUUUUAUUUUAUUUUAAAAGUUUCUUAACAAUUGUAAAAUUAUAAUGAUAAUAAAUUUUAUUCAUAGCAUAUUAGUAGUAUUUACUAUGCAUUUAAACUCUUAAAACUUAAAAGUUAGUUUUGUAAAUUUAAAGGUCAACCAGCCCCAAAGCAUGUACAUGUAAUAUUCAAAUUGCAAGUCAAGUAAUAUAACAUAGAAAUUUAUUUUAUUAUAUUGGCCAAAUAAUUUUUAAGGAAUAUAGUUAUUCAUAUAUUUAGUCAUAUAUGGACAUAAUAAAAAUAAUAAAUGACUGAAUAUAAAUCAUAUUUAAUUUGUAUGCCAUUAUCUAAUGUUGUAGGAAUGACGAUAGAUGUAUCGUGGAGAUUAGAAUGAUAAAGGAGACAAUAGAAUAUUAUAUUGAUCUUACUCCUGCAAUUACUUAUGAAUGAUAUUUUAUUAUCUUUCUUAUUUGUUGUUUUGGUAUAAAAGUAUAAGCUACAUAUUAUAUUUUUGAGAAAAAUUAUAUAAUUUAUUUGUUAUCAAUUCAUUUUAGCCUUCUAAAAAAUUAUUACUUUUUUUAUUAUUAAAUUUUAAAAUUCAUGACGGACUAGAGCAGAUUUAGAUUUUUUUUUUUCAGAUUUGGAGCAGAUAUAGAUAUUUAUUUCUUUUUUAAAUUUAGAUAUGGAGCGAAAAAUAUAAAUUCAUGAUAGAUCUGAAGCAGAUAUAAAUCUUGAUAUUUAUUAUAGAUUUAAAUCUAAAACAGAAUAAAUCCAACCCAUAUCUGUCGCAUUAACAUCUCUACUUUAGUCUCGUACUCUCUCUCCUGCGAUUGCUUCGAUCUUUCGUAAAGACAUUUAAAAAUAAAAAUUAAAAAAAAAAUCUAGAAAUGAUCAAAAUAAAUCGUUGAAAAGUCAGACGAGUUGGAAUCUCAUGGAAGCCAGCCAUGACACAACACUACACUGGAUCUAAUGCUUAGUCAAAGUCAAACCGCCGGCUACUCCUUUUCUUUCCCGUCAACAACCGCAGCCUACUUUUUCUAUUUUAUUUUCUUCUUUUUUUCAUAUUUUUUAUUUCACUCAUUUAUUUGUAUUCCUUUUUUUUUGUAUGAAUGAUCCAUCGUAAAUAAAAUUUUGAGCAAAUGAAAAAAAAAAUCUAAAUAAUUCAUUGGUUCUAAAGACCCAAAUAAUAUUAACAUCGUCAAAUCAGGGUAAUGAUUGCAUUUGUUUUGACAGUAUAAAUAGGAAUUAGAAUGAAAAUUUCCCAUCUUGUAAUUAUAAUAACAAAAGAAGAAAACCAAGUUUGACGUAUAGAACUUCAGCUUAUAGCUCGUGCAUACCUUUUAUCCAACACGUUACUCACUAAAGUUGAACUCAUUUGAAAAAUACAGAAACAUAAACGAGUUAGUCAUAAUAUGAAUACAAUACAAAUAAAUAUCUGUUGACUAUAUGUAUUAUCUUUAAUUUUUUAUGUAAUAAUCAAAUAUCAAAAGCUUAAAUAGAAACGCAAUUUAAUAUCACAUUCACAAACUCCAUAAACUAUCGUUGAAAAGUUCAAAUUAAUAAUUUCUUUUCACAACUUACAUUUGUCUUUAAUAAAAGUCUAUUGAAACCUACCUCAUAAAUAAAUAUUACAAACACACACAAAAUAAACUUCUUUCCACAUAUAAGAUAUAUAUAUAUAUAUAUAAAGAAAAGAAAAGCGAUUUCCUAUUAGUUGGUCGAUAAUUCUCAAAAAUUAUAAUUAAUGCUAUAACAAUUUAUGUGAUACAUAUAAUUUUUAACGACAAAAUUAUUUUAUAAAUGGUAUUGUUCCAAUAAGAAAUAUUCCUAAAACACAAGAAAAAUGCAUACUCUUAUAUAUUUUGGAUAAAAUAAUUUGUAUUAAAAUGUUUUUUUUUUUUUUACUUUCUAGUUUAUUUUUGAAUUCCUUAUCAAAUAAUAACUCAUUAUAUAAAUAUCAAUAAAUAUUUUCAUAAAAAUAGUGUUCGAGGUUGUACCUUAUCUCUUGAUAUAAAAAUAUUCUACUCUAUUACCAAAAUUCGAUUCACUUUACGUAAACAUCCAAUCAGCGUUAAAAACGACACCGUUCAUCCCAAUUUAGGAACAUAACCACCAUCAUUAGUUCACUGCACCUUCUACAAAUACCAGCAACCACCCCUCUCCUUCUCCCCUUUCCCCCUCCACCGUGGCAUCUUGUUCGCUCUAAUCUGUUCGGACGAUUCGUUCAGGUAAUAAAACGCUGCGUUUCAGUUUCUAAAUUUAGAUCGUGUAGAUCUGGUCCUCUGUAUCUCCCGUUACCGUUCAAAUAAUUCUGUUACCAGUCAAAAUUCAGAUCUGGCCUUUAAUAGCUGUAUAAUCCAAAACAAUAAUAAAGGGAAGAAUUUGUUAGCAUGUUUUAUCUGUCUAUUUGUCUCCUUUAAAUUCGAUGCCUGAGAAGUUUUCACUUGCUCUAAAAUCGAAAUCGAACCGUUUCGUGUUGAAUCGAUUCGUUCGAUUUUCGAGAGUUUUGUAGUUUGAUUAGUGGAUGAAGUAGUUCGAAGUUUUUUUUUUUUCAAGGUUUGUUGUUUGUGUCUAGAUCUGUUGAACUCAUGAGUUAAUCUCGUCGUUUUCUGUUUUGUUCCCUCGAAAUAUGUGUUUUCCCUUCUGAUUUUUUUAAUGAUUUUGCCUAAUUUUUCUCGAGAAUUAAAGAGAUUUAUGAAUUGGGUUUGAUAUUUUAGUUUCAGAUGUUGAUUUAACAGGAUGAGAAAAUACGAAAAUUCGGCCUUGUUUGAGGUUCUGUUGAUGAUUUUGUCUAACUUUCUUGGCUACCAAACAGAAUUUUGAAUUAGUUUUCAUAUUUUUCUGUUCGAUGUUGAUUAUUUUUGUGAAUGAAUCAGCCGAUUUGUUAUUUGCUUUGCAGAGAAAAAUAUUUAUUUAUUUUUUUGUAAUUUCUUUGCUUGAUUUUUAUUUUUUUAUUUUCAUGCUAGACGUUGAUCAUCAUAGUUGAACAUGAUUUUGAUUUUUUUUUCUCUUUUUUCUUUUGGUGAAAAAAUCUCCUGAUUUUCUGCUGGGUUCCUAAGAGAAUUUUCUGUUGUUUUUCCUGAAACAAGAGAGACAUGUGAUUUGAGUUCUAUAUUUUAUUGUAACAGAAGCUGAUCUUUUGAUUUUUUUUUUUCUUUUGAACAGGCGUUUUUCUGUUUAUUAAAGCGGGUUUUUGAAGAUGAACCAGUUCUAUUAUCAGAAGAACGCCUUUGGCGCACACGAGGAGAGGUGUGACUCGUUCUCCGUCUCUGGUCAGAGGGAGUCUGUUGUUUGCCCUAAGCCUCGCCGUGUUGGAAUUUUGUCUAAUAUUCAUAACAGGCCAUUGAGAAGGCACAUGAGGUAAAAAUAAUGUUGUCUUUUUCAAAUGAUCUGUGUAUACUCUUUUGAGUUUGUUGAAGAUUAGUUUAGUUCUAAGAAAGUUUUGAUUUUUUUGCAGUCAUCCAGUUGAGGUGUCUGAUUCAAAAGCUGGGGCUGAGCUUCUAGACAUUAUUCUCAUGAAGGUAUUCACUUGCCGCUUUUGUCUAACUUGUAUCUGAGAGAUAUGUAUGAUCAUUUUGUGAUUGUUAUCCAUGUAGAAAUUGAUUUGAAUAGAUAGAAAGUUGCUUAGAAAUAAUCAAUCUAUUGCUUUUGUUUAUUUGAGUGCCAUACUUAUGGUAGGUGGGAUUGUUUUGUCAAAUUCUUUCAUGAUGGAACACAUUAAAUGGUGCUGGUCUGAUUUGUAUAUGCUUGUUUUGAACAUUAUAGGAGGGUCAUGGGGUGGAUCAAACUGCUUCCCAGGCAGCAUCUUCACCACCUUUUUUCUGUGGGUCUCCUCCAAGCAGGGCUGCCAACCCUUUAAUCCAAGAUGCCCGUUUUGGAGACGAGAAACUUAGUCCUUUGUCUUCAUUGCAAGUGCCACCCCCUUCUGGUUUACCAUCUCCAUCGUCAUCAGCACGUAAGGCCGGAUGUGCUAGAAUGAACUUUGGGCUUAAACCAGCCACUGUUAGAGUAGAAGGAUUUGAUUGCCUGAACAGGGAUCGCCAAAAUUCCAGCAUCCCUGCUAUGGCUUAGAACUGCAUAAAAGAUGAAAAAAGAAGCUGUAUAUAGAGAAGGAAGCUGAGCGCCAACAUAAUUCAACAAAGCACAGCAGACCUAACACGAGGGAGUUUUGAAUAUUUUUGAAGAGAAUGUAAGAAGAUAUGGUAGUAGUGUAUGUAUAUAUGUAAAAUGUGUUUUUCCAUUUUUAUUUUUUUUUUUUUGGCCGGUGAUCUAUCUCAUUGCUAAUAUCUCUGUAAGUAUUUUGAUUGAGCAAAUGAAAGAGAACGGCAACUCGGGGACGUUUUGAAGAGCUUGGCAUGGCCGGCUCUUCUUGUAAUAUAAGAUUUAGUAUUGGGAGGGAGUUGUGAUAAAGGAAAAUUUGUAUAGAGGGCUAUUGCCUAUUGGUGACUUAAUGUUAGUCAUUGACGCAUGUAAAUGUAUUUUGGCAGUUGUUAAUGGCCUGGCUUCCGUUCUUUCCUUGCAGUUUUUCUCUCUUCCUCUCUUCUGCUAAUUGCUAAAAGGGUACUCGAGUGAUGUUUGGACAUUUAUAUUUUAUAUUGAAUUUUGAAUUUUUUAAUUUUUAAAUGGCUAUUGUGUAUGAAAAAAAAUCAUCGGAUGAGAUGGGAUUUUAUCGAUGACUUCUAAGGAAUGAUCUCAUGUUCUGGACAGAUUGUGGAGUUGUGUGUUAUAUUAAAUAAUAAAUAAUAGCACAGCGGGGCAUGCAUGCAUGCAUGAAUAGGUUUGGGGUCAUUUUAUGUGAUUUUUCUAUUCGAGCGUUGGCCGCCUGAAUGAUUAGUCAAGUGAAUCAAAUUUGAAUUGGUCUCUCUUUGACGAGAACCAGUCGGUCAUCUACUAAUAUACUUUAUGAAUAAUAUAUUUUAUGUUAUUUUUCCUAAAGGUUUUGGAGACUCGCAAUUAUGUGGACUUCCAUGAUAUGUUCACAAAUGCUUAGCUGAGCAAAUAUACAAAAACUAUGUACCGUAGGGCAACGUGAUUUGGUCAAUUCCGCUGUGGCUGGGACCCCUCGAGAUGAAGCUAAACAAUCAUCUUUUCAUUGUUUUGUUUAUUCUCUUCUCUGUUGUGGUUCCGUGUGUGACCAGAUUAAGUGUAUCAUUGCCAUUGGGAUAUUUUGCUUCGUGCAAAUUCAACUAAUGCCUGAUUUUUUACGAAAAAAUUUCGGUGUUUCCUAUCCCCGGAGUUUAAAUUUCUGUAAUUUGGGCUUGGGACAGAGGCCCUUGGUUCCCAUUAGGCCGCGGCUCUAUUUCUUGGGCUUUUAAUAAUCUAAAUACUGAGUUUGUGUUGGGGCCGGGCGAGACACUAAUUAAAAAAAGUUUUCCCACUUUUUAUCUCAUGUUUUCAUAAUAAACAAUAAAAAAUAAAAGUGAAAACGAUAAUACAAGCCAUUCAGAAUGCCAUGAAUUUUAAGUAAGUAUCCUCCAAAAAGGAAAAGCAAGUGCGUGGAAAUGGCAACGUGAAUGUGCUGAUGCCACCGUAUUCGUGUAAUGUUUCCAAAAGAAUCAUUUCACAGUCAAAGAAGAAGACAACGACGAAAUGCUUGUCCUGUUUCUAUGUAGUUGAUGAAACACGCUCGCUGCUGAGAUAAGUCAUCUAACUACUUGUUCACUUAAUUUGUUCUUUGAAUCUUCCUAAAUUAAAUAAAUAUUUUAAUUAAAAAUUUGAUAAAAGUUCUUUUUAAACGGUAUAAAAUUAUUAUUUUAAACUAUAAACUUGUAAUUUUCGCUAUAGAUUAAUGGGAUGUAUUACCAAGUUAAUAAAGAUACAUUUUUUUUAUUAAAAACAAUUAUAUAAAUUUUAAAUAAUUUGAAAAAAAAAAACUUAUAUUUAUACAAAAUUGAUGCAUAAGUAUCAUAUUUUUGUUUUAUGUAAAUCAUGUUUAAGUUUAUAAAUUAUAAGGACAGAGUUUACUUAGAUAAUUUCAUUCAUUUAGAACAGAAUGCCUUUAAUUUUUAACUUCCGGUCAUUGUUGUUUUACCAAUCAAAAUUAAUCUUGUCAAAUUUUUAAUUACGAUACCAAAAUUUGCAGUGUAAUAUUAAGAAAAAGAAAAACACAUGCAAUUAGCACACGUAUUAUAUGAGAUUGAUUUUUAACCUUCUUUCAUUGUUGUUUUACUGAUCAAAUUUAGUCUUGUCAUAUUUUUAAUUAGAAUACCAAAUUUUGUAAUGUGAUAUUGAGAAAAAGAAAAACACAUGCAAUUUUGCACACACAUGACCGCAUAGAUUAUAUAUUGGGUACUAACUUUACAUCUUGUCAGAAUAUCAUCAUCUUAAUUAUCUAAGAAAACAUAUAUAAAUUUCUUUAGAUCAUGUUUGUCCACAAUAACAAUAAAGUAGAUAAGGUUGAAAACAUCUCACAUCAGUAGCUAGAUUUCUUCACAAUUUAUUUAGAACAGAAUGCCUUUGAUUUUUUAACCUUCUUCCAUUGUUGUUUUACUUAGCUUAUAAAAAUUAGUCUUGCAUAUUUUUUUUAGUUAUAAUACCAAACUUUGUAAUGUAAUAUUGAGAAAAGAGAAAAAACACAUGCAAUUGGUAUACACAUGACCACAUAGAUUAGAUACGAGGUACUAACUCCGUAGGUAGUCAAAAUAUUAUCAUCUUAAUUAUCUAAGAAAAACAUAUAUAGAUUUCUUUGAAUUCUGUUUGUUCAUAUAUAGUAAAAUAGAAAAGGUUUGAAAAAUCUGACAUCAGUACUUAGAUUUCUUCACAAUUUAUUUAGAACAGAGUGCCUUUCAUUUUUAACCUUCAUUCAUUGUUGUUUUACUUAUCAAAAUAAAUCUUGUCAGAUUUUUAAUUUUAUUACUAAAAUUUGUAAUGUAAUAUCAAGAAAAAGAAAAGCACAUACAAUUAGAUUUCAUUGGAUUCUGUUUGUCGAUAGUAAAGUAAAUAAGGUUAAAAAAUCUGACAUUAGUCUCCAACAAAAAAACAUGAUUUCAUUUUUCUUUCUGACACCAAUUCACAAAAUUAACAUAAAUCUCGAAUUUUGGUGAUGUAAGAUCGAGUCAUAAGAACUAAGAAUAAUAAUAAGAAAAAUUCUUUAAAAGACAAUUGUUGAAUUUAUGAAAACCCAUAUAUCAUCAAACAGACGCAACAAAUGAUUAAUUUCUUUGUACUGUUCAAAUAUAAUAUAAAUUAGCUAAAUAUUUUGUAAUAAAAAAAAAUUAAUGAAUAUUUCUAGUAUCAUAACAAACAAAUUCAUUAAAGAGGAAAAAACUCGUGCUCCAUUAUAUACGUGGCGACUGCAUGCAAGACCAACUUUGCAGCAAAACUACAAAACACUUUUCAUCAUCAAAAACGUUACAGAAGAUGAAGAAAAUUACAAAACGCUAAAAAAAGAAAGGAAAAAAAAAAAUUCCACACAGAGUAGAAGAGAGAAUAGAUUCAAAAUCGCAGGGCCACAAGACGAAAACUCCUGUCGGUCGUGGGACCCACAAGUCCACGUGUCCCGGCUGCAUGGCCACGUAUCCAUAAAGUACGAAGAAACGCACGAAGUUAGUUUCUUCUCUCCCAAAUUUUCCACUUAAAAUAUCGACUCAAAUUCGCAAGUACGUAUACCCCUCGAUAUCGAGUCAAUUCAAACGCAAGUUCAUGAAGAGUGCCAUUUUCUCGUGAGAUUCUUUUCUCGAGAAAAUGAUGAUGAAAGCCUAACUGAAAGGGGAGAAAAAAUAAAUAAUAAUAAGUUGAUAAAAAGACACAUGCGUUUGUACAUAAAUAGGCACUGUACUUCACUUGUCACCCAUCAACAAAAUCUUCGGCUGCACAGAAAACCCAGUUGCGCUUUCUCUCAACAAAAUGAAAAUGGCGAAGGUGAGCCCUGUUUUUGAAGGCAAGAUAAGCGGAGGAGGGGAAGAAGAUGAAGAAAAAGAAGCCGGGCGGUCGAGGAUGGCCAGGGAAAACGCGAAAGCCAGGAUACGUAACAUUAGAAGAGUGAGUGUCAGAGCUCGGCGUCCUUAUCAAAGAAGGAUGAUGACAAGAUCAAUGGCUGCGAUGAGUUCUUCUUCAUCAUCAUCACCACCACCAUCACCACUCGACACUAUCAAAGAGGACGAGCAGGAAGAGGAGGAUCAUCAAGAAAUGAACAAUAACAGUAAGGGUAAGGAGGAGGUGGUUGAACUUAAUGAAAAGGAGAAACAAGAAGUGAUUGUAAGUGAUGAAAAGGAGAGGGAGAAGGAGAAACAAGACGUGAUUGUAAAUGAUUCAAAGGAGAGGGAGAAGGAGAAACAAGACGUGAUUGUAAAUGAUGAAAAGAAGAGAGAGAAGGAGAAACAAGAAGUUAUUGUAAUUGAUGAAAAUGAGAGGGAGAAUGAGAAACACGAAGUGAUUGUAAUUGAUGUUGAUGAGGUAGAGGAUAAGCCUCAGGCUGAGGCGGAGGUGCCAGCGGCGGCUGGUGAUGGUGGUGUGAGGGAGAAGUACUAUUGUUGGCCAAAUGGGUGGUAUGAUGGGCUAGAUGAGUGGCCGAUGACGUGGAGCUAUGAGGAGGAGUGGCUUUGGUCGGGGAGGGGAUUAGGGUUUGGGCUGACUAAUCCUCAGUGGGAGUACAUUGACGGAGUGGGUUGGAUUGAUAAGAGACCCUGAGUCUGAGUGGUUAAAUGAAACCGGAGGUGCGUUCAUGUUCAAUUGUGUCCCCUAUAUAUAGAAGAGAAUCUCUGUCUUUAUUAAUAUGUCAGUAUGAUGUUUUGAGUAUAUAUGUAACUAAACAUAUGUAGCUAGCAAGCUAGUGUAUCAGUGCAUGUAGUUGGGUUAUAAAUAGUGUUUUGUUGUGUCGAAAUGUGAAUUUAGAUAUGCUUUAAUUAGUAAUUAUAUAAUUAACUAGCACAUUCAAUCUCUUUGCUGUUGACAUAUAAGGGGACAUUGAUUACAGCAUAUACAUAUACACAGGCUAAAUCCAACAUAUAUUAAUCUCUCGCAGCAACCUUCAAAUAUGAGAUUGAAAUGGGGUUUUGAAUUAUAUUUUGGUCAGUGAUUGCGUGAAAUGUCGAUAAUUCAAUGGAAAAACAUGUUAAUGGGCAUGUACGUCAACUAAUUAAUGAGGGUAAUGACAUAGGAACCAUGAUCUUCUAUCUUAAUAUUAUUAGAUAAGAUUGUAAAAAUAGUUAAAAUACGUUAAUCAUAAAUUGUUAUAAAUGCACAAAAUCAUAUAUGAUGUUUCGAAGUUUGUAGGAGAGUAUAUUCAUUUAUAUAGCGGCUCUAAAGUCAAAACAUUUUACAUUAGAUUUGAUUGUUUGGCAGCCUAACAUAUAUAUUUAGAUUUGGAUUCCUUGCUUUAAACUUGAAACCACUGUAUCAUUAUCCCCUAAUAAUUUGAUAGCUUACAUAUAUGCACAAAAUCAUAUAUGUGUAGUAGCCGAGCAUUUUAUUUGAUAGCUUUUAGUUAUCCUAUAAGCUGAUACAUACAAUUGUACAUAGUGUAUAUGGAUCAAUUUAUUAGACAAAUAAUUAACGAAAGAAUACCGUUAAAUAUUACUUUCUAUAUGCCUUUUAAGUAACUGAAAAAUCAAAACAAAAGAAUUUCAAUAACUGUUUUUAGUGAUUUUCUUUAGUUAAAAAAAUGACCGAGCAUGGGAAAUUUUUUUUAAUUACAAUAAAAUUUUUUUAUCAAAGAGAAUACCUAACUGUUUUUAACUAUAGUAAGAAAAAAAAAAUACUUCCAAGAUCAUGGGACAAAGGAUGAGAUCUCGAUAAAUUUGUGCGUAUAUAUCAGUAUAUGGAACGUCAUUCAUUCAUACAACCAAGCAUUUCAUUUUUUCAUAUAGAUGAGAAUUCCUGUAUUCUUGUAUUAAUUUAUCACGAGAAACUUUUUUUUUUUCAAUUUGGAUAAGACAAAUUAAGAUGCGUAAUUAAGCGUUGACUUAAAUUGGUAACAAAUUAAUUUUCAAUGAACUUAUAAAAAUAAUUCACAAGUGUAGUCUAAGCCUCUAAUUACUUGACAUAACCUACAUCCGUAUGAAUGAUUUUUUGCCAAAUUCCCGUGAGCAAUUCGGCAUUUGGAUGCUAGGUCAAUGUGGUCCUGAACAAGAAAUGCCUUAAUGUUAUAGUUAAAUGGUAAGAAGUAUUAAUUUUGUAGCUUGUUUAAGGAGUUGGAAUAUUGGCACACCUCUAACAUUCUCUUCAAACCCCCUUUAUGCAUAUAUAUAUUCUUUUUAAUUCAUAAAAUAACCUUCAUUUGCUGUACUUUCUUAAUAAACCAUGUGUUAGUAGUUUGAAAAAAAAUAUUAUUAGGCUCUCUCUCUCUCUCUCUCCUCUCUCCCAUUUCAAACCAUUUUUAAUUUCUUCUUUGUUACAUCAUUCAUGAAUUUUUAAUUUUUAUUCCCAUCUCUCUUUAUUUUCUUAGCAUGUAACAACUGGAGUGUACAUAUAAAGAUAAAUAAUGCAUAUAUGAAAGAAAAAACUUCGCAUAAGUAAACAAACUUCACAAAAUUAUUUUUUCUACAAAAAUUUAGUUUAUAUUUAGAUCAAAUCCUUAUUCCAUGACAAUUCACUGUUCAAACUUUGUAGAUUUAAUGAGUUUAUAAUAGAUAAAAAGGUAAAGAAAAUAUAGUUAGGUUUAAUUAGAUAAAUUUUAUUUUUAAUGUAAUUUAAAAUAUAAAGGAUAAAUUUGUAAAUUCAAAGCAAGAGGGGUUUCAAAAGAGAUAUGGAGGGGUGCCAAUAGCGUAACUCUUGUUAAAGUUCUGAAGUGCGCGAUUUUGAAUAUUCUAAGCUUGCAUUUGUAAUAUGAGCUUUCAUAUAUAUAUAUAUAUAUAUAUAUAUAUAUAUAUAUAUAUAUAUAUGUUGAUAGAAAUUAUUUGAAUGGCGGUUAUGACUGUAAUAUGAACAAAAACUGUUAUACACAGCCGCAAACCACUAACAUAUUGCAAGGAAUAUAUGUGUGUGAUAGUAUAAAUAAAACAAACAUAGGAUCGAAUAUACGUACAUUAGUGUUUCUGUAAGCUAAGAAAUAAUAAAAGAAAUUGCCUCACGGCUUUAUAAAAUGUUAUAAUUUUCUUAUUGUCAAAAUACUUAAAUAGACAGAUAGACGCUCAUAACCCCUUGAUUGGAUUCCCUUAACUUUAAAGCAAUUUAUCCACUCAUACAAGAUAAAAGCAAAUUCUAAAUUGAAAAGCGUUACCAUUACAACCCGGCUUUCCAUUCUACUGUGACAAGGAUUACUCCUUGUUUUCCUAAUUAUUUUCUCUUCUGCAUUAAUUUAUGAUUUCCUUUAAGACUACUUAUAUAUAAAAUUGUAAUGUCAUCGAGGCAAAGCUAUUUCUCAAGCAAUCAAUCGAUAAAACUUUCAGGCUUUGGCAAAUUUGAAGGUCGAUCCCCUCGCUCGAAGUGAUCAAAGGAUAUAGUUUAGUGGAAUUUGACGUGGCACCCCCUGCUUUCCUCAUCGUCAGCUGCUGGUGGCCUUGACAGAAUCAGACAUCACUUAAGGGCCCCUGCGUGGUUUUGAUAUAGUUAGAGAUAGAGAAACUGGAAAGUCCAGGGGCUAUGCGUUCUGUGUUUACCAACAUCUUUCAGUUUCAGUGAUUGCAUGCGCUACCCUGAAUGGGAUAAAAUUGGGAGAUAAGGCUCUCACUGUUAGACGGGCAAAUCUAGAUUGCCUCGGGGAGGAGGGGCGAAAAAUGUUAAAGAAGGUGAGGAUGAUAGAAUGGUCUACAAGGUAGGGUCGAUACAAUUCUCCGAAUUCUAAUUGAAAGGCCCAUUCAAGUCGAGAUUCAAUAUAAAAUUUUAUCCCAAAUUUAAAAUCUAGAUUGAGAUUCGGAACUCAAUUUUAUUUGGAUUUACUGUUCAGGACAUUUGAAAUCCUGAUUGGGAUCCUAAAUAUUUUCAAAUCAGGGCCUUUAGAAGCAUCUGACAAGUUGGUUUGAUCAAGUAUAUAAUUUAAUUUAUUAUUUUAAAAUCAGGGUCUUUAGAAGCAUAUGAUAAAUAGAUUUGAUUAAAUAAAUAAUCUAAUAUGUCGGUCAUAUGAAUAUGACAAGUCCAUUUAAUAAACAUGAAGCAUAUGACACAUCGAUCAUAAGUGUAUGGCAUGUUGUUUAUUACAGAAUCUACUGUGUACGACAAUAAACUCACAUCAUCCAAGACAUUCAGGGAUCAUAAUAUAUUUUUUAUCUUGAUUUACUGUUCACAACAAUAUUUAUGAUUUUUUUUUUAUUCCAUUUGAUGUCUCUAUUAGCAUUAGGAUUUUGUUUUAGGAUUUUAUUUUAUUUUGUUAAUGUUUUUGUUUGGAUUUUAAUUUACGAUUUCAAUUAUUAUUUGGUAUUUCCCUUGUAACCCUAUUAAUAGCGAUGUCCUUGGACUUUCAAAUUCAAAUUUAAAAAAAAAAAAAAGGAUGAUGCCAUAUAUCAGAAGGUAUUGUUUAAUUGGGGAUUAUUCCAUUAUUACUAGAAAAUGCUGAUGGCCGAGUGUAAACUUCUUGAAAAUGACAAGAACUCGUUUGUAAAACACAACCCUCAAGUUUGGAUUGGGAUGGGAGUUAGGAGAUGCUAAAGUCAAUUUCAUACAAAAUUGAAAAUUUCAAUAAAUUACAGAGAAACUUAUCAAAUUUUGAAAAACCUUAAAAGCGAUGUUUGUUUGAAUAUGACCAUUUAGCUUAUUUUGUCACCGAUUUUUUUUCAGACAUAUUUCUUUUAUUAAAUAAUACCUAAAAAUAAAUUAAUUACAGAGAACUUAAAUAUCACAAACCGCCAAACUUGCUCUUUCUAUCCUAAAUAUUGUUACGGACUGUUAACCAAUUUCUUGCACUAUACAUAAUAGAUGUCUUGUUUAAAUUCUUUGACCAGAUAUUUAACGAAGAUGGAUGAGAGGAGAGAGAAAGCGUGUAUUAAUGAUAAAAAGUAAAAAGAUUAAUGUCAUUUAAUUUAUUAAAUCCUCACCGUUGAUAUGUUUUAAAUCUAAAGGCUUAAAAUUAAUAUAAAAUUAAGUAUAAUUUUAGAGGGACGGACUUACCACUUGAGCUUGACUCCUACGUGUCAGUUUAAUGACCUUUUGAUAUCCUUUCAUUUCAAUCUAAUGGUCUGUUUACAACAAGAAAAACUAACAUCAAGGAGUUGCUUUCGUCUCUCUUACACUGUCGCCAAAGACUUCAUUCGUUGACGGGAAGGCGAAGCAAAAUGUUCUGAAUCAAGAGAGGGUGUGUGAAACAUUUCAAGCAUCGGAGAUAAUUUAUAAUCAAUGCAGUAAGAGAGACUAAAGAAAGCAUACAGUUCUUCUUAUCACCAACUUUAUCUCGUUAAAGGGAUGUCCACAAGUGUAGCUAUCGAAGAUUCAUCACUGACCUAUGGGCACACUUUUUGAAGAUUGUUUAGAUAAAACAUGAUCCACUAAACUUUGGGCUGAUAAAUGAUGAAAAACAAGUAAGCCACUGACAGGACAAACUUAAUUAUCUUUAUGAUAUGUAGAUUUGAGUUCUUGGUCCAAUUUAAAUCAACUAAAGUAGCAUGUACAGUGAAGUGGCUCAGGCUGUUAAUUAAAAAACUAAUCUUAGUUUUUGGAGUGAGACUAAUCCUCAAUUUAAUAUGUUUACUUAAUUAUAAGCUGGGAUGUCAGAAUUAUGAUCUGGGUUUGAAUUCUGAGAGUAAAUUGACGCAAUAGAAAGUGAAUGUACCGUGCCUUCAUUGGCCGAAGAUUUUGAAUUCUUCAAAGAAUCAGAUGUUCUUUUUGUUUAUAAUUGGACAUUUUGCAGGUCAUGACACGAGGUAACACACUGAAAAUUGCAGAGCAUUUUCAUCAUCUUCAUGAAUAAUACGUUUGGCUAUCCAAAUUAAAGCGAUCGAUUCUCCAAGGAGCUUGGAAUCCGGCACAGGUUUUGAGGGUUCAUUUGUAUUUAUUAUUUAUAAUUUGAUUGUUCUUCAAUUGGGUGCUCAAUACCUACAGCUCCACAACAGAGAAAUUAUGACCAACGAAUGAUAGAGAUGAUUGGCAAGAAUCAUAAAACUACUCUUUUAAUUCCAGUAAUUCUCACUCAUUAAACUGAACAUCCGAGACCCAGAUUAAUGAAACUGAAAACAAAGGAUUCAAUUAUUAAAAUAUAUAUAAAAAAAAAAAGCCAAAGUCGGGGAGAAAACCAAAAAAGUUUGAGCAGCAGCAACAGCAGCCUAAGUACAAAUUAAACGCAAACCGAACCCCCAUUGAUCGAAUGAUCAUUAUGGGGGUUACACAUAAUAAUAAUCAACAAUAUUGCAUGGGUGGUUACACAAAUUUAAUUGGGAACCUAGACGCCUGGUGGCUUGGCAGCAAGGAAACUGAUGCACUGCACUUGACGCUUGUUGUCAAAUCCGAUAAUUCGGACGAAUGAAUGUGGGUAUUCCUUCUGGACCUCCCCAACCUCCUUCAAAACCUGGGUUGCAUCUGUGCACCCAUACAUGGGCAGCUUCCACAUUGUCCAGUAGCGUCCAUCGUAGUAUCCUGGUGAGCUGUGGUGCUCACGGUACACCCAUCCUUUCUGCAGUCACGCCACCCAAAAGAAAAAACAAAAAAAAAAAAAUCAAAUAUCACCACCCAUUUGCCUGAUAAAAUCCGCUUAACCCAAAAGCUUAGAUUUUAAGUAAGCAAUUGUUAAUGCAGGUUUUGAUAUUGAAUGGAUAUCUCUGACCAAUAGAUUCAUGACAUGUGUAAUUUUUCUCCUAAAGCACAUAGAUAAGGUUCCGUCAAAAUAAUAGUAUAUAUUAAGAGAGACAGAGAGAGAGAGAGAGAGAGAGAGAAAUGACCUCCAACUCGAAUUCCAAGCAGGGAAUCCAGCCGGAGCGGAGAAGGUAACUGAUUUCCUUGAGCAAAGCUUCAUCGGACAGUGGCGGGAGGUAUGAGAGAGUCUCGAACUUCUUCAAGCCAGUUGGUGGCCACACCUGUAACAUACAAGCUCACAAGAAAAUUAAUUAAAAACAUAAUUGAGAGCUAAAAGAAGAAAGCCGUCAAUUUAAAGAAGCAAAAGAAGAAAUGAAUUCUUGUAUGAUUAUGAUGAUGACCUUCAUGCAUUGGACUCUUCCGCCGUUGCUUGCAAUGGAAGUAAUGUCAUUGUUGGUCUUCUUGGUUGCUGGGAAAGCAGAAGAAGACUUGAGGCCGGUGAAGGGGGCGACCAUGCUGGCCUGAGCAAGGCUGGCGCGGUUCGCGGUGGCAACGGUGGUCGAUGAGAUCAUUGAGGAAGCCAUUGGUACUUGCUCCUUCUUCUAGCUUUGCAAGUUCUUUUACUUAAUAGGAGGAUGCUCAGUGGCCAGUUG